rnacentral:rRNA from 1 species
CUUAUAUUCUGUAGCAAGGUUAACCGUAUAGGGGAGCCGAAGGGAAACCGAGUCUUAACUGGGCGUUAAGUUGCAGGGUAUAGACCCGAAACCCGGUGAUCUAGCCAUGGGCAGGUUGAAGGUUGGGUAACACUAACUGGAGGACCGAACCGACUAAUGUUGAAAAAUUAGCGGAUGACUUGUGGCUGGGGGUGAAAGGCCAAUCAAACCGGGAGAUAGCUGGUUCUCCCCGAAAGCUAUUUAGGUAGCGCCUCGUGAACUCAUCUUCGGGGGUAGAGCACUGUUUCGGCUAGGGGGUCAUCCCGACUUACCAACCCGAUGCAAACUGCGAAUACCGAAGAAUGUUAUCACGGGAGACACACGGCGGGUGCUAACGUCCGUCGUGAAGAGGGAAACAACCCAGACCGCCAGCUAAGGUCCCAAAGUCACAGUUAAGUGGGAAACGAUGUGGGAAGGCUCAGACAGCCAGGAUGUUGGCUUAGAAGCAGCCAUCAUUUAAAGAAAGCGUAAUAGCUCACUGGUCGAGUCGGCCUGCGCGGAAGAUGUAACGGGGCUAAACUGUGCACCGAAGCUGCGGCAGCGACGCUUAUGCGUUGUUGGGUAGGGGAGCGUUCUGUAAGCCUGCGAAGGUGUCCUGUGAGGGUUGCUGGAGGUAUCAGAAGUGCGAAUGCUGACAUAAGUAACGAUAA